GUGCUCACUUUGGCAGCACAUAUACCAGAACUGGAAAGAUACAAAGAAGAUUAACAUGGCCUCUGUGUAAGGAUGAUGCAAACUUGUGGAGCACUCCCUUAAA
ensembl:snRNA U6 U6 spliceosomal RNA